AGAAAGAAAUGCAAGAACUGCUAACUCAUGCUCCCGUGUUUACACUCACGGCUUUCUC
rnacentral:tRNA from 1 species